UGCGCAGGGCGUGUUUCAUAACGAUAUUGCCAAAUGACACACCUUUUAGGCGUGCGGUGCGGAUGUAUUGUGCGGUCAUCACUUCGGCCAUUGAGGCGCGCGUCAUCCGCGCGAUAUAGCCCAUGCCAUAAAGCGCGAUGGUGACAACGGGGAGGAAAAAGUUUUCAAACGUUGGAUUU
rnacentral:ncRNA from 1 species